UAUAAAUAAAAGUUAAUAUAUAUAAAUUAACAUUAAUUUUUUUUAACAGGAAAUGCACAAUGCUAAAAACUGCGUAGGAGAUUUUAAUACAAUAGUACUACCAAGCCUGAUGUUGGCCGCUAUUUCAAUGAAUGCAGCAGUGUCACAGCUAGCAAUCAAAAGUAACAAGAUAUUGAGGAAAUGCAGAUGGCAAUAAACUGUGUAGGAGUUCAUGAUUGCAAUAGAAUAAAAUCGACCAAGCCUGAAGUCAGCAGCCCCUUCAAUGAAUGCAGCAGUGUGACAGCCAGCAAUCAAAAGUUACAAGAUAUCGAGGAAAUGCAGAUGGCAAUAAACUGUGUAGGAGUUUAUGAUUGCAAUAGAAUAAAAUCGACCAAGCCUGAAGUCAGCAGCCCCUUCAAUGAAUGCAGCAGUGUGACAGCCAACAAUCAAAAGUUACAAGAUAUCGAGGGACGUUUCAUGACGACCACGACUAUUUUGGCAAAAACGUAUCGCUAUAGACUAAGGAAAAAAAAUUAACAUAUAUUUUAUUUACAGGAAAUGCAGAUGACAAUAAACUGUGUAGGAGUUUAUGAUUGCAAUAGAAUAAAAUCGACCAAGCCUGAAGUCAGCAGCCCCUUCAAUGAAUGCAGCAGUGUGACAGCCAACAAUCAAAAGUUACAAGAUAUCGAGGAAAUGCAGAAGGCAAAAAACUGCGUAGGAGAUCAAUAAUACAAAAGUAUUAUAUAAACCAAACCUGAUGUUGCCAGCUCCUUCAAUGAAUGCAGCAGUGUGACAGCCAGCAAUCAAAAGUAACAAGAUAUCGAGGAAAUGCAGAAGGCAAAAAACUGCGUAGGAGAUCAUUAAUACAAUAGUAUUAUAUAAACCAAGCCUAAUGUUGGCCGCUCAUUCAAAGAAUGCAGCAGUGUGACAGCCAGCAAUCAAAAGUAACAAGAUGUCGAGGAAAUGCAGAGUGCAAUAAACUGUGUAGGAGAUUAUGAUUGCAAUAGAAUAAAAUCGACCAAGCCUGAAGUUCUUCAAUGCACGCAGCAGUGUGACAGCCAGCAAUCAAUAGUGAUAGUGACAAGAAUCUAGGAAAUACAGCAAAGAAGCAGAUGUCAUCAAAGAAGAUCUUUGUUCCUGCAAUAUUUCCGCAGACGAUACAUCCAACAGAGCGAAGUGGAAGGAAAAGACUCGGAAAAAAGACCCCACCACCAUAUGGGAACAAUGCAAGGGAGAGAGAGAGAAUAUAAUUUUAUAUUUUUAUUUUUUGAUAACAUAAA